rnacentral:rRNA from 1 species
GACGAACGCUGGCGGCGUGCUUAACACAUGCAAGUCGAACGAUGAAGCCGGAGCUUGCUCUGGUGAAUUAGUGGCGAACGGGUGAGUAACACGUGAGUAACCUGCCCUUGACUCUGGGAUAACUGCGGGAAACUGUAGCUAAUACCGGAUACGACCCUCGGAGGCAUCUCCUGGGGGUGGAAAGAAUUUCGGUCAAGGAUGGACUCGCGGCCUAUCAGCUAGUUGGUGAGGUAAAGGCUCACCAAGGCGACGACGGGUAGCCGGCCUGAGAGGGUGACCGGCCACACUGGGACUGAGAUACGGCCCAGACUCCUACGGGAGGCAGCAGUGGGGAAUAUUGCACAAUGGGCGCAAGGCUGAUGCAGCGACGCCGCGUGAGGGAUGACGGCCUUCGGGUUGUAAACCUCUUUCAGCACCGACGAAGCGCAAGUGACGGUAGGUGCAGAAGAAGGACCGGCCAACUACGUGCCAGCCGCCGCUGUAA